rnacentral:rRNA from 1 species
GAUGAACGCUGGCGGCGUGCCUAAUACAUGCAAGUCGAGCGAAUGGAUUAAGAGCUUGCUCUUAUGAAGUUAGCGGCGGACGGGUGAGUAACACGUGGGUAACCUGCCCAUAAGACUGGGAUAACUCCGGGAAACCGGGGCUAAUACCGGAUAACAUUUUGAACCGCAUGGUUCGAAAUUGAAAGGCGGCUUCGGCUGUCACUUAUGGAUGGACCCGCGGCGCAUUAGCUAGUUGGGGAGGUACGGCUAACCAAGGCAACGAUGCGUAGCCGACCUGAGAGGGUGAUCGGCCACACUGGGACUGAGACACGGCCCAGACUCCUACGGGAGGCAGCAGUAGGGAAUCUUCCGCAAUGGACGAAAGUCUGACGGAGCAACGUCGCGUGAGUGAUGAAGGCUUUCGGGUCGUAAAACUCUGUUGAUAGGGAAGAACAAGUGCUAGUUGAAUAAGCUGGCACCUUGACGGUACCUAACCAGAAAGCCACGGCUAACUACGUGCCAGCCGCCGCGGUAA